GUUCUUGGGCAUUAGUUUUGUUAAGUUUUUUUUUUUUUUUUUUUUUCAUUAAGUGUUUUAGAAUGUCUCUCUUCUUUUCCUGCUGCCGGACCAAAACAGCGGCCACAACCGUUUGAGCUACCUCUUCGUCUUGUAGCUGUAGCAGAGAAAUCUUUGCUGUAUUUU